AUUGAACGCUGGCGGCAGGCCUAACACAUGCAAGUCGAGCGGAGCGGCGGACGGGUGAGUACUGUAUGGGGAUCUGCCCGAUAGAGGGGGAUCACUACUGGAAACGGUGGCUAAUACCGAAUACUAUCGGAUGAACCAAUAUGGGUUUCGCUUGUAGGUGGGGUAAGGGCUCAACGAGGAGACGAUCCGUAGCUGGUCUGAGAGGAUGAUCAGUCACACUGGGACUGAGACACGGUCCAGACUCCUACGGGAGGCAGCAGUGGGGAAUAUUGAACAAUGGGCGAAAGCCUGAUCCAGCCAUGCCGCGUGUGUGAAGAAGGUCUUCGGGUUGUAAAGCACUUUAAGUUGGGAGGCGUUACCAACAGAAUAAGCACCGGCUAACUUCGUGCCAGCAGCCGCGGUAAUAC
rnacentral:rRNA from 1 species